UACAAUUAAAUCCCCCUUCACAGAAACUAUUCUUUUACUGAUUCGUAAUAAAUAAAUUUUAUUGUAACCCAUUUCUUCUUACCCAUAAACUGCACCUUGAUCUAAUAUACUUUACUUCUCAAAUUUCAAUAACUACCUCAACAAAGGUUAUCUGAUAAUGACGGUAUACAAACUGCUAAACAAGAGUAAGUAAGAUUUUUCGUGUUGUAUCAUUUACAGAACAGGUUCCUCUAACAAGACUAAAAUACCGCCAAAUUCUUUGAAUUUAAAGACCAUAUCUAUUAAUAUUCAAGUUUUAUUUUUAUCUUUUAAGUAUAAUAGGGUAUCUAAUCCUAGUUUAUACCUUAAUUUCCGAGUCUCCUCCUAUUUAUAAUCCAACUUCCAUUUAUUCCUAAUAAACCAAUUUCACCUUUUAUUACUAUAAAUUUCAAUUUACCUUUAAACAUAAGAAUAACCUAAACUAAAACACCUUUACUAAGCUUUUAAGUCUAACCGCGAUUGCUGGCACAAAAUUUCAUCAAACUUUUUAUAAUUUACUAAAUCGGAUCCUAAACCAAUAUUUAAUCUUCCAUACUGCGAAUAACAAAACUACGACUUAUUAUAAAUUAUCUCUAUUAUAUUUACUUCUUUCCCACCAAGAUACACAUAUACCUUAAUUAUAAAAUAAAAGUUCAAGCAAGAAUCAAACUUUAAGCCUAUCUCAACCUAUUCAAGUAGACACCUUCUUCUAAUCUAAGAUUUAAUCUUCUAAGAACACCUCUUAAAAACAUAAAUCUACAGUUAACCCCUAUAAUUUUAACCUCCUUAAUAAGUAUAAUGCCUGAUAAAAGGACAGUUUUGAUAGAACUGCUAAUGUAGCUUUACUACUUAUACUACAAGAUUCUCUCUUAAGCUUUAGUAAUUAUACAUCUUCAAAUUUGCAAUUUGACGUCUUUUUUCCACUAUAAAGCCUAACGCAACGAUGAUUUUUCUCAACAAAUCAUAAAGACAUCGGUACUCUAUACUUUGUGUUCGGAGCCUGAUCCGGUAUAGUAGGCACUUCCCUAAGACUAAUUAUUCGAGCCGAACUUGGUCAACCAGGAAGAUUAAUCGGAGACGAUCAAAUUUAUAAUGUAAUCGUCACAGCCCACGCCUUCGUAAUGAUUUUCUUCAUAGUUAUACCAAUCAUAAUUGGGGGUUUUGGGAAUUGAUUAGUUCCCCUUAUACUUGGAGCCCCUGAUAUAGCCUUCCCUCGAAUAAAUAAUAUAAGAUUCUGACUUUUACCAUUUUCUCUCACCCUUCUCCUUACAAGGGGAAUAGUAGAGAGAGGUGUCGGAACAGGGUGGACAGUUUAUCCUCCUCUAGCAGCAUCAAUCGCCCAUGCAGGAGCAUCAGUCGACCUAGGCAUCUUCUCCCUUCAUUUGGCCGGAGUCUCCUCAAUUCUCGGAGCUGUAAAUUUUAUAACUACAGCAAUCAAUAUACGAACCAGAGGGAUAUCCAUAGACCGAAUACCCUUAUUCGUAUGAUCCGUCUUCAUUACUGCAGUACUUCUGCUUUUAUCCCUCCCCGUUCUAGCAGGAGCAAUUACUAUACUUCUUACAGACCGAAAUCUAAACACUACUUUCUUUGACCCUGCUGGAGGGGGAGAUCCUAUUCUCUACCAACACUUAUUCUGAUUUUUUGGGCACCCCGAGGUCUACAUCUUAAUUCUACCAGCUUUCGGCAUAGUCUCACACAUCGUCACACAAGAAUCAGGCAAAAAAGAAGCAUUCGGCACACUAGGGAUAAUCUAUGCCAUAACAGCAAUUGGAAUUCUAGGAUUCCUCGUGUGAGCUCACCAUAUAUUCACUGUAGGUAUAGAUGUAGACACCCGAGCAUACUUUACAUCAGCAACCAUAAUUAUUGCUAUUCCCACAGGAAUUAAGAUCUUCAGAUGACUAAGAACUCUCCAAGGCUCUCAAUUCUCAUACUCUCCCUCACUCCUGUGAACCUUAGGUUUUAUUUUCUUAUUUACAGUAGGUGGCUUAACAGGAGUUAUCUUAGCAAACUCUUCAAUCGACAUUAUUCUUCAUGACACCUAUUACGUUGUAGCUCACUUCCACUACGUUCUAUCCAUGGGAGCUGUAUUUGGAAUUUUCGGAGGUAUUGUUCACUGAUUCCCCU